GCAAAUAUUAGGUUGUAUUAUAUGGCUGCAGUGUUAUCUUCAGGAAUCCUCCUCCGUGCCCGGCCCAGCAUGAUCCAAUGGACAGAUAUGGAGAAGACACAAUUUCCAGAUCAGUCCCUCAUAGAUUACAUGUGGAUGCCGAGAUAGUCCAGAACAAAGAGGCCUGACCUAUUCCCGACUACACAUACCACAAUAGCGUUCUGGGAUGAGUUCAUGCUGGCCAUGGGCUAUGGAAAUACUUUCCAUGCCAAUUCACCCAUAUCGGCCCUUAAAGUCAUGUUGCCAGAUAUUUCACUCAAAUACUGGCGUGAGGCAGGGAUCACACAAAUCUCCCAUCAGAUAGAAGACAAUGGGGUAAUGUCAUUUCCAGCACUACAGAAGCGAUGGCAGAUACUAAUUAGUGCUAUCUUUUCCUAUUCACAGCUAAAGAGCAUUUUGAGCGCUCAUACGACAUUAUCGCAUACCACACAGAGUUCUAGCUAUGCUCGCCUACUAAACCAAAGGCUCUUACUCUGUGCUACAAGUCCUGGCACGAGCUCUUACUAGCCAAACCCCAACAGCACAAGACACAGUGGGAAAUAGACUGUGGCAGGCCCUUGACGGAUGUGGACUGGCUCCAUGCCCUCAAUGACUUAUCUAGAUGUACGAAAUGCUUUCCACAUAUUGAGGCCCAUAGAAAACUUUUGUAUCGCUGGUACAUGACCCGUCAGAGACUCCAGCGUAUAUUCCCCAAUUCAUCCCCGACAAGAUGGAGGUGUGCUUCGGAUAAAGGCACACUCAUACAUUUGUGGUGGUCCUGUGGGGGCAUUCAGCCCUUCUGGACUAUAGUACGUUCUGUCCUUGAUACACUGGGCAUCCCUACUUCGUAUUAACGGUACCUUUCUGUCACUGCUGCUGCUCCCUGAAUCCCUGACCUAUAGCCAGAAAAAAGUCACUGCUUUGGUUCUACUAGCUGCACGAAACCUUAUAACUCAAAUAUGGAAAUCCCUAGACUGCCCUUCCCUGUCCCAGUUACUUGACAAAAUAUGACUGUUCCACACCUAUGAGCGAAUGGCGCUCACAUGCAGUCAGACAACACAGAGGUUUGGUGAAGCUUGGCGAGCAUGGGAUAGGGAAUACGGACAGGGAGCUGGUGAUGGCGGCCUCAUUGCUUCCUGCUGAUAUUUCGACCCCUUUCUUAACUGUAAUCCUGGCCUUCGUUCCAAAGGUCAACACCUGAGUUGGUCCUCGAACAUCCAACUUAUCCAUCACCAACAUAGUUGUUCUGGAUGCUCAACACCAUGCCCAUACCUCAACAGUAGCCUGGGUACUCCUUACACACAUUACGGCAAUGCCUUGUUGAACACAGGACCUAACUGGGUAUUUGCUUGUACUGACAACUGUACUUUAUCAACCAUGAGGUCUCCAUAAAGGAUUCAGGUAGACGGUCUUCUAGUUAUACAGAUAUAUAUGCUCAAUGUACGAAUAAAUUCAAUUGUGUACACCAGAUAUAGUUGAGGAGGUCUAUAUUGAUCAUUUAGGAUGUUGAUGAUGCACAGAUGGUGUGAUGUACCCUGGCUAACCAAUUCCACUUUUACUUUCGGUACCCCUAUUUCCUUUAUUAUACAAAACGAAUAAAAUUAUAAAUGUAAUAUAUAUAUAACUGGAUUAUUCUGAUAAGGGAGACAACGUACCGCUGAGCGCCUCUCUGGAGUAUCCAGAACUGAACCAGUUAUCAAGCUGCAAAAAAUUUCUAACCCACUGCAAACAGUUUAAUAUUUCUACCUAGCUCAGUCUGUAGCUGUAUAUGGUGUAAUAUUUCUACCUAGCUCAGUCUGUAGCUGUAUAUGGUGUAAUAUUUCUAUCUAGCUCA